rnacentral:lncRNA from 1 species
UACACUCAUGAACUUUUCAUCCAUCAACUUUAUCUUGCUCACUAUGUUUAGGGUUAGAGAAGAACAAAUACACUUUAGGUUCUGUUGGUGUUUUCCACCAACAGGACCCAUGCACUUGAUCUCUACCUUAUCUCUAUGAGCAGGUACACUUCGAGCAAGACACGGAGGAGUUUUAUAACUCUCAGACUCUACAAAGUAAAGUUCCUGGAUCUACGAGAACAAACACACUGAGCAGGAUACUGCCAACGCCGCACUUCGAACUGCUAGGCAAACAAAAAGGUGCAGACGUCAAGGUCCGCACCUGAAUCAAAUGACGCACCUGAAGAAUGAACACGGUGAGAAGUCUUGUUAAGAAGACUUAAAACAUUGAACCAUCGCCGAAAGG